AGGGCACCACCAGGAGUGGAGCCUGCGGCUUAAUUUGACUCAACACGGGAAAACUUACCCGGCCCGGACACUGGCGGGAUUGACAGAUUGAGAGCUCUUUCUUGAUUCAGUGGGUGGUGGUGCAUGGCCGCUCUUAGUUGGUGGAGCGAUUUGUCUGGUUAAUUCCGAUAACGAACGAGACUCUAGCCUACUAAAUAGGCCACCGGCUUACUGACGUCGGUGGGACUUCUUAGAGGGACAGGCGGCGAUUCAGCCGCACGAAACAGAGCAAUAACAGGUCUGUGAUGCCCUUAGAUGUCCGGGGCCGCACGCGCGCUACACUGAAGUGAUCAGCGUGCAUUACAAACCUGCUCCGUCAGGAGUGGGGAACCCAAUGAACCUUCUUCGUGAUUGGGAUAGGGGAUUGUAAUUAUUCCCCUUGAACGAGGAAUUCCCAGUAAGCGCGAGUCAUAAGCUCGCGUUGGUUACGUCCCUGCCCUUUGUACACACCGCCCGUCGCUACUACCGAUUGAAUGAUUU
rnacentral:rRNA from 1 species